rnacentral:lncRNA from 1 species
GAGCAAAGAGAAAAGAAGAAGAACUCAGAUAUCUUGAGGAAGAUUGCCCCAAGCUCAUCACUUCUGUCACAUGCACUAAACUUGAACUUCAGAAAGACAAUCACCCCACCUGUACCGGGGGCACCCCCAGACCCCGCAUUAGCACUUCGCCUGCAGUAAGUCCUCCAUAAAUGAAGAAGUCUGAGACAAACACUUGCGGCACCAAGUUCUGCUCCAUCCGCCCCCCCUCCAGCGUGAUCCUGGAUCCCCUUCCCCUUCUCUAAGCUCAGUGUAUGUCAUCUGUAAGCGGUCCUGACCUCCAUGCCAACUCCUGAGGGCUUAUGAAUCAACAGGAGGCAAACACAGCCAAACUGCCCAGCUCCAAAAUCAACAAAAAGCGUGGUGCUGCUGUUCUCGAGACUGGUGAGUCCAUUCACGCCGGCUGUUCCCUCCUUCAACACACGCUGGCCCCUCUGCUGAUGCCGGCUGCUGGCAACACCAAAAAGUCGCUGUCCCUUCUCACCUAUAACCCCACCUGCUCACAGAUCGUUGAGGGAAACAGACCAGGAAGCAGAUCAGCAGCUCGGGCUCUGUGCACACAGACCUAGGAUCGACAAUUGGAGCUUCACAGACAAGAUACUGAAAAGAAAGAGGUCACCAGACCAGGAGGAAAGGAACAGCAUUCAGGCAGAGAGACAGUUGGAGGCAAAAUCAGGAGCAGCUUCUGGCUGAUGCCCGUGCCUCCGAGUGACUAGCAUCUACCCAGGUGAUAGUAACUGUGUGUGUUGUGACCCCAAGGUAAUGGUCACUGCGAAAUUGUCUCCAGUUGGGGACAAGGACCUAGAGACUGUGUGUUCCUAAUAAUUACUCUGGGGCAGAAUGGAGGAAAAAAUUUGAAGGUAGUCCAGCGGUGUGUGGACCUAGGGCAGGAAGGACACCCAGCCAAGGACCAUGGAGAGCACAGAGGAUCAGGAAAGGCAACAUAGGUCAGGAGAAGAAGCAGCCAGGCCAGUGGCUCAUUAUGGGAACAUCUGUGACUUAGAACAUGUCUCCCUCAACUGCCUUACUAAUGUCUGGGUCUCUCUGCCAGGCAGAGCCAGGCUGGCAAGUGGGGUCAGAGUUGAGUCAGCCAGGACACGGCCAUCACAACUCACAAAAAAGAAGGGGGAGGAGGAGGGGAGAGGGAGGAGAAGGAGGAGGAGGAGGAGGGGGAGGAGGAGGAACAUUCUGUGAACAGGAACCAGGCCAGGAAACUUGAUCAGCCCUGGUUUCCUCCCACCCCACAACCAAAUGAAAACACAUUUGUCUCCAUGACACACUUGUGUUUGCAGGAGACAGAGCAAUUGUUUUUUUUUUUUCUCCCCCACUGAAGAGGCAAGAAUAGAAAACUCUACCUGCCAAGACAGCCUUCCACCCCCAAGGC